CGACCGCUGGCGGCGUGCUUAACACAUGCACGUCGAACGGCAAGGCCCUGCUUUUGUGGGGUGCUCGAGUGGCGAACGGGUGAGUAACACGUGAGUAACCUGCCCUUGACUUUGGGAUAACUUCAGGAAACUGGGGCUAAUACCGGAUAGGAGCUCCUGCUGCAUGGUGGGGGUUGGAAAGUUUCGGCGGUUGGGGAUGGACUCGCGGCUUAUCAGCUUGUUGGUGGGGUAGUGGCUUACCAAGGCUUUGACGGGUAGCCGGCCUGAGAGGGUGACCGGCCACAUUGGGACUGAGAUACGGCCCAGACUCCUACGGGAGGCAGCAGUGGGGAAUAUUGCACAAUGGGCGGAAGCCUGAUGCAGCAACGCCGCGUGCGGGAUGACGGCCUUCGGGUUGUAAACCGCUUUCGCCUGUGACGAAGCGUGAGUGACGGUAAUGGGUAAAGAAGCACCGGCUAACUACGUG
rnacentral:rRNA from 1 species